AGGACGAACGCUGGCGGCGUGCUUAACACAUGCAAGUCGAGCGAGGCCCUCCUUCGGGAGGUGCCCUAGCGGCGAACGGGUGAGUAACACGUGGGCAACCUGCCCCUAGCACUGGGAUAACCCCCGGGAAACCGGGGCUAAUACCGGAUACGACCUCCGAGGGCAUCCUUGGAGGUGGAAAGGUUUUCUGGCUAGGGAUGGGCCCGCGGCCUAUCAGCUUGUUGGUGGGGUUACGGCCCACCAAGGCGACGACGGGUAGCC
rnacentral:rRNA from 1 species